rnacentral:rRNA from 1 species
UAAUACGUAGGGGGCAAGCGUUGUCCGGAAUCAUUGGGCGUAAAGAGCGCGUAGGCGGUCCGGUAAGUCGGUUGUGAAAACUGGGGGCUCAACCCUCAGAGGCCGACCGAUACUGCUGGGCUAGAGUCCGGAAGAGGCGAGUGGAAUUCCUGGUGUAGCGGUGAAAUGCGCAGAUAUCAGGAGGAACACCAAUGGCGAAGGCAGCUCGCUGGGACGGUACUGACGCUGAGGCGCGAAAGCGUGGGGAGCAAACAGGAUUAGAUACCCUGGUAGUCCACGCCGUAAACGAUGGGAACUAGGUGUGGGAGGUGUCGACUCCUCCCGUGCCGAAGCUAACGCAUUAAGUUCCCCGCCUGGGGAGUACGGCCGCAAGGCUA